rnacentral:rRNA from 2 species
UUCAGCAACGGAUCUCUUGGCUCUCGCAUCGAUGAAGAACGCAGCGAAAUGCGAUAAGUAAUGUGAAUUGCAGAAUUCAGUGAAUCAUCGAAUCUUUGAACGCACCUUGCGCUCC